AAUGUAAGUGAAUGGAAGACAGAAGAACUACUAGUGUACCAAGACCCCGAUGACAAGUGCGGCGUGUUCAAGGUUCUUACGAGAGGAAAAGGUCUUGAUAUGAUUACAGUCGAACUUCGCAUGCGGAAUUCUUCGUUACAUGAAGGCCCCAGUAAGGACUGUUUAGACAAAUUUAAUAACCGCAAAAGGAAAAGGAAAAGCUACGGAUUGUAUGCUUCGGACUGCCAGGAGAAAGUGACAGUCCACCAAAAAGAAUUUU